rnacentral:rRNA from 1 species
AACGUAGGAGACAAACGUUAUCCGGAGUUACUGGGCGUAAAGGGCGUGUAGGCGGUCUGUUAAGUCUGGCGUGAAAGCUCUCGGCUAAACCGGGAGAGGUCGUUGGAUACUGGCAGACUAGAGGACGGUAGAGGCGUGUGGAAUUCCGGGUGUAGUGGUGAAAUGCGCAGAUAUCAGGAGGAACACCGAUUGCGAAGGCAGCUUGCUGGGACGUUACUGACGCUGAGACGCGAAAGCGUGGGGAGCAAACAGG